rnacentral:rRNA from 1 species
GUGCAGCAGUCGCGAAAACUCCGCAAUACGCGAAAGCGUGACGGGGCUACCCCGAGUGUCGUCCGCUGAGGACGACUUUUCCACGCUGUAAGGAGGCGUGGGAAUAAGGAGAGGGCAAGUCUGGUGUCAGCCGCCGCGGUAAUACCAGCUCUUCGAGUGGUGGGGACGCUUAUUGGGCCUAAAGCAUCCGUAGCUGGCCAAACAAGUUCCCUGUUAAAUCCAGCGAUUUAAUCGUUGGACUGCGGGGAAUACUGCUUGGCUAGGGGGCGAGAGAGGCCGACGGUAUUUUCGGGGUAGGGGUGAAAUCCUAUAAUCCCGGAAAGACCACCAGUGGCGAAGGCUGUCGGCUAGAACGCGCCCGACGGUGAGGGAUGAAAGCUGGGGGAGCGAACCGGAUUAGAUACCACUGUAGUCC